UGAAGUGUAUCCGCGAUGACAACUAUACAAUGUUGACACAAAGGAAAGUGAAGUGGAAGGUAAAACGUAAUGUCAGAAUUGCCGUUCGGACGUAUCCCUUUCGCCGGCACGGUUGAUUGUGGUUAUGAACCAGCACAAAAAAAAGCUGCAAAUUAUGCGCUAGUGGCGGUACCACGAUCAAAGCACUCCCUGAAUCACAUUAGCCGAGCCAGCUGGCGGAAGCAUAUGCAUAAAGGUUACUAGGUUACUAUUUUCAACAACUGUUUUUUUUAUUAUACUGCUUCAAAUACCUUCGACGAAAUCAAAUGUAACCAUACCAACGUAAGUAAUAACAUAAACAAAUCCAAACUUUUCGUCUUGCCAUUCCUCAUACGUAUUUUCUAAAUAGUGUAAAUUACGAGUCACCCGUUAACUACACCAUCUUGAUUGGGUUGACACGCAGACGAGCACUCGUCUGCUCGUCUUGUUUUCUGGAAUAGGGCCCUAUAUUUCUCGCCCUUCUUCUUCUUCUUCUUCUUCUUCUUCAAUGGCACUAACGUUCCUAGAGGAACUUCGCCGUCUCAACGUAGUAUUACUUGCGUAAUUUUUAUUAGUACUUAGUUGAGAUUUCUAAGCCAAAUAACACGCCUUGAAUGCAUUCUGAGUGGCAAGCUCUAGAAUACGCGUGAUCACAGUGCAAGUCGGAGGAAAUUUCUUUGACGAAAAAUUCCCCCGACCAGAACGGGAAUCGAACCCGAACCAAAUUAGCCGGUAUAGAUUGGUUGGCUGGUUUUCGAAAGCACCACCCACAACUCUCUCUUCGUUUCAUCAGAAGCAACCUCCACAGCCAGGGCACAAGGAUUCGAUCGCAUUGCACUCGGGAAAUUCUACGAUUUACUGGAGGACGCACAACAGAAAUACAACAUUCCACCAGUAACUUCAACGUCGACGAGAAUUCAAUGAUUCCAGUGCAGACCAGAAAUUCCAAAGUUCUAGCAAUACGGGGAAAAAGGCAGAAGAGCGCUGUAAUUCUAGCUGAGCGCUGAGUGCUGAACACGGAAUAAAGAUCAUAGAAUCUUCCACAGCAACAUAGGCUAUUAAACGGCAUGUUGCUACUGUCGGCACAAUUCAGUUCCUCUACGGGUGGCGGUGGAUGGAUCCAACGCUAUCGAUGCCACUAGUGGGUACAUAACGGCACAGAUAUAUUUCAUGUUCCUACUUUGAGUAACUAAAAAUUGCACUUUGAUCACAUUGUUAUAUUUUGUACAUGCUAACUGAA